CAGCCACAUCCCGUUGAAACAAAGGUUCCCGUACGAUCACUGAAGUUAAGCAUCUUUGAGCCUGGUCAGUAAGUAGAUGGGUGGCCUCUUAAGAAUACCAGGUGGUGUAAG